rnacentral:rRNA from 1 species
UGGGCGUUCGGUGGAUGCCUUGGUAUCAAGAGCUGAUGAAAGACGUGGCGGUCUGCGAUAUGCCUCGGGGAGUUGACGAGCGAGUGUUGAUCCGGGGAUUUCUGAAUGGGGUGACCCAGCACCUGUAAUGGGGUGUUACCUGCUGGUGAGUUGAGUAGCCAGUAUGGGAGGAACGUGGGGAAGUGAAACAUCUUAGUACCCAUAGGAAGAGAUAUUCCGUUAGUAGUGGCGAGCGAAAGCGGAUGAUGGCUAAACCGUGUGUGUGUGAUACUCAGCGAGGGUUGCGCAUGCGGUGUUGUGGGGCCAGACAUGAUACAUACUUCUUCGCUGGGAAGUAUGGCUGGUGCGUGCAUGGAGUUGAACAGCCUGGGAUGGUUGACCGGAGAGCGUGAUAGUCGCGUAGGUGGUUUGUGUGCGUGUUGGUUUGGUUUGGUGCCCGAGUAGCGCGGGGCUCGUGAAAUCCUGCGUGAAUCUGCCAAGACCACUUGGUAAGCCUGAAUACUUCUUGAUAACCGAUAGUGAAUAGUACCGUGAGGGAAUGGUGAAAAGUACCCCGGGAGGGGAGUGAAAUAGUUCCUGAAACCGGAUGCCUUUAAGCCGUCAGAGCCUUAUGCGCAGCUUUGGUUGUGUGGGGGUGAUGGCGUGCCUUUUGAAGAAUGAGCCUGCGAGUUAGUGGCAUGUGGCUUGCUUAACCCGUUGUGGGGUAGGCGUAGCGAAAGCGAGUCUGAAUAGGGCGUUUUUGGUCGCGUGUUCUAGACCCGAAGCGGAGUGAUCUACCCAUGGCCAGGUUGAAGCAGUGGUAAGACGCUGUGGAGGACCGAACCCACCUAGGUUGAAAACUGGGGGGAUGAGCUGUGGGUAGGGGUGAAAGGCUAAUCAAACUCCGUGAUAGCUGGUUCUCCCCGAAAUGCAUUUAGGUGCAGCGUCGUUUGUUGCCUGGUGGUGGUAGAGCACUGGUUGGUUAAUGGGCCCUUUGGGUUACUGAGAUCAGCUAAACUCCGAAUGCCAUUAGUGUUAGGACGGCAGUGAGACUGUGGGGGAUAAGCUUCAUAGUCGAAAGGGAAACAGCCCAGAUCACCGGUUAAGGCCCCUAAGUGUGUGCUGAGUGGGAAAGGAUGUGGAGUUGCAGUGACAACCAGGAGGUUGGCUUAGAAGCAGCCAUCCUUGAAAGAGUGCGUAAUAGCUCACUGGUCAAGUGAUUCCGCGCCGACAAUGUAGCGGGGCUGAAGUACACCGCCGAAACCGUGACAUCAAAACAUUUGUUUUGUUGGGUAGGGGAGCGUCCCUCAUGAGGUGAAGCAGCAGUGUGAACUGGCUGUGGAUUGUGGGGGAGUGAGAAUGCAGGCAUGAGUAGCGAUUUGAGGGGUGGGAAUCCCCUCCGCCGUAUAACUAAGGGUUCCAGGGCUAGGUUUAUCCUCCCUGGGUUAGUCGGGUCCUAAGGCGAGGCCGACAGGCGUAGUCGAUGGAUAACCAGUUGAUAUUCUGGUACCGGCUUUUGAUCCGUCCAACAUCAUUUACAGCAGUGAGUACUUGCCACUGGCAUGAUAAGGUUUUGGGCCCUUUCGGGGGUUUGAUACUGGUUUGUGUUUAGUCGUUUGUGUGAGCGUGUUUAUGGUGAGCGUGUUAACAGGGGUGACGCAAAGUGGUAGCUGCUGCACACCGGUGGUUGUGUGUGUCUAAGCGUGUGGCCUGUUCCUAGGUAAACCCGGGAACUUUAUAGGUGAGGCGUGAUGGGAACCCCUUUUUUGGGGUUUAGUGGUGAGCCUGUUUUGUCAAGAAAAGCCUCGACGUGAGGGUCAAAGCCGCCCGUACCCUAAACCGACACAGGUAGUUAGGUAGAGAAUACUAAGGCGUGCGAGUGAAUCAUGGUUAAGGAACUCGGCAAAAUGCCCCCGUAACUUCGGAAGAAGGGGGACCCUUGGGGGUGAACCACCUUAGCGGUGGCGAGCGUCUAGGGGUCGCAGAGGAUAGAGAGAAGCGACUGUUUAUUAAAAACAUAGGUGCGUGCUAAGCCGUAAGGCGCUGUAUACGCACUGACGCCUGCCCGGUGCUGGAAGGUUAAGAGGAAAGGUCAACACAUUUUUGUGUGAAGCUUUGAAUUGAAGCCCCAGUAAACGGCGGUGGUAACUAUAACCAUCCUAAGGUAGCGAAAUUCCUUGUCGGGUAAGUUCCGACCUGCACGAAUGGCGUAACGACUUCUCUACUGUCUCAACCAUGAGCUCGGUGAAAUUGCACUACGAGUAAAGAUGCUCGUUACGCGCAGCAGGACGGAAAGACCCCGGGACCUUUACUAUAGCUUGGUAUUGGUGUUCGUUAGUGUUUGUGUAGGAUAGGUGGGAGACUAUGAGACUGGCACGCUAGUGUUAGUGGAGUCAUUGGUGAAAUACCACUCUGAUAUUAAUGUGCAUCUAACCUCGAAUCCUGAUCGGGUUUGGGGACAGUGCCUGGUGGGUAGUUUAACUGGGGCGGUUGCCUCCUAAAUGGUAACGGAGGCGCUCAAAGGUUCCCUCAGCCUGGUUGGUAACCAGGUGUUGAGUGUAAGUGUAAAAGGGAGCUUGACUGUGAGACUGACAAGUCGAGCAGGGACGAAAGUCGGAACUAGUGAUCCGGCCACGGCUUGUGGAAGCGUGGUCGCUCAACGGAUAAAAGGUACCCCGGGGAUAACAGGCUGAUCCUGCCCAAGAGUCCAUAUCGACGGCAUGGUUUGGCACCUCGAUGUCGGCUCGUCGCAUCCUGGGGGUGGAGUCGCUCCCAAGGGUUGGGCUGUUCGCCCAUUAAAGCGGUACGCGAGCUGGGUUUAGAACGUCGUGAGACAGUUCGGUCCCUAUCCGCUGCGCGCGCAGGAAACUUGUAGAGAUCUAUCCCUAGUACGAGAGGACCGGGACGGACGAACCUCUGGUAUACCAGUUGUCCCGCCAGGGGCACCGCUGGUUGGCUACGUUCGGGUUGGAUAACCGCUGAAAGCAUCUAAGCGGGAAGCCAUCUCUGAGAUUAGGUUUCCAACACACUUUGG